GACGAACGCUGGCGGCGUGCUUAACACAUGCAAGUCGAACGAUGAAACCUAGCUUGCUAGGUCGAUUAGUGGCGAACGGGUGAGUAACACGUGACUAACCUGCCCCUUUCUCUGGGAUAACGCUCCGAAAGGAGUGCUAAUACCGGAUACUCACACCGAGGCACAUGCCUUGGCGUGGAAAGUUUUUCGGAAAGGGAUGGAGUCGCGGCCUAUCAGCUUGUUGGUGAGGUAACGGCUCACCAAGGCGACGACGGGUAGCCGGCCUGAGAGGGCGACCGGCCACACUGGGACUGAGACACGGCCCAGACUCCUACGGGAGGCAGCAGUGGGGAAUAUUGCACGAUGGGCGCAAGCCUGAUGCAGCGACGCCGCGUGAGGGAUGAGGGUCUUCGGAUUGUAAACCUCUUUCAGUAGGGACGAAGCGAAAGUGACGGUACCUAAAGAAGAAGCACCGGCUAACUACGUGCCAGCCGCCGCGGUAA
rnacentral:rRNA from 1 species